UGGUAGUNCACGCCGUAAACGAUGAGUGCUAGGUGUUAGGCCCUUUCCGGGGCUUAGUGCCGGAGCUAACGCAAUAAGCACUCCGCCCGGGGAGUACGACCGCAAGGUUGAAACUCAAAGGAAUUGACGGGGGCCCGCACAAGCGGUGGAGCAUGUGGUUUAAUUCGAAGCAACGCGAAGAACCUUACCAGGUCUUGACAUCCCGAUGCUAUUCUUAGAGAUAGGAAGUUACUUCGGUACAUCGGAGACAGGUGGUGCAUGGUUGUCGUCAGCUCGUGUCGUGAGAUGUUGGGUUAAGUCCCGCAACGAGCGCAACCCUUAUUGUUAGUUGCCAUCAUUAAGUUGGGCACUCUAGCGAGACUGCCGGUAAUAAACCGGAGGAAGGUGGGGAUGACGUCAAAUCAUCAUGCCCCUUAUGACCUGGGCUACACACGUGCUACAAUGGUCGGUACAACGAGUUGCGAGCCGGUGACGGCAAGCUAAUCUCUGAAAGCCGAUCUCAGUUCGGAUUGGAGGCUGCAACUCGCCUCCAUGAAGUCGGAAUCGCUAGUAAUCGCGGAUCAGCACGCCGCGGUGAAUACGUUCCCGGGCCUUGUACACACCGCCCGUCACACCACGAGAGUUUGUAACACCCGAAGUCGGUGAGGUAACCUUUUAGG
rnacentral:rRNA from 1 species